UACGUAGGGUGCGAGCGUUGUCCGGAAUUACUGGGCGUAAAGAGCUCGUAGGUGGUUUGUCGCGUUGUUCGUGAAAACUCACAGCUUAACUGUGGGCGUGCGGGCGAUACGGGCAGACUGGAGUACUGCAGGGGAGACUGGAAUUCCUGGUGUAGCGGUGAAAUGCGUAGAGAUCAUGAGGAAGACCAGUGGCGAAGGCGGGUCUCUGGACAGUUCCUGACACUGAGACACGAAGGCCAGGGGAGCAAACGGG
rnacentral:rRNA from 1 species